rnacentral:rRNA from 1 species
UAAAGGGUGCGUAGGCGGCCUGUUAAGUCAGAGGUGAAAGACGGUAGCUCAACUAUCGCAGUGCCUUUGAUACUGAUGGGCUUGAAUGGACUAGAGGUAGGCGGAAUGAGACAAGUAGCGGUGAAAUGCGUAGAUAUGCGGAGGAACACCGAUGGCGAAGGCAAUCCCCUGGACCUGUACUGACGCUCAUGCACGAAAGCGUGGGGAGCAAACAGGAUUAGAUACCCUGU